GAUGAACGCCGGCGGCGUGCCUAAUACAUGCAAGUCGAGCGAACAGACGAGGAGCUUGCUCCUCUGACGUUAGCGGCGGACGGGUGAGUAACACGUGGAUAACCUACCUAUAAGACUGGGAUAACUUCGGGAAACCGGAGCUAAUACCGGAUAAUAUAUUGAACCGCAUGGUUCAAUAGUGAAAGACGGUUUUGCUGUCACUUAUAGAUGGAUCCGCGCCGCAUUAGCUAGUUGGUAAGGUAACGGCUUACCAAGGCAACGAUGCGUAGCCGACCUGAGAGGGGGAACGGGCACAGGUGGAGUGAGGAACGGCCCAGACGACAGGGUGAGGAAGCAGGAGGGAGUCUGAGGUGAUGGACGAAAGGGUGAAAGAGUAAAGUAGCGUGAGAGAAGAAGGUUUUAGGAUAGUAAAAAUGUGUUGAUAGAGAAGAACGUGGGUGCGAGUGGAAAGCUCAGCAAGUGAAGGGCACUAAGAAGAAAAGGACGGCUACCUACGUG
rnacentral:rRNA from 1 species